rnacentral:lncRNA from 1 species
GGGAACACCUCAUGUCUAAAUCAUAAAACCAUCUGCAUAUGGUAUAUGAUGCUGGUACCACUGUGUUACCUUAGACAAAAUCUCUACCAUUUUAACAAACAAGAGAUACAACAGUGGGCAUAAUCCCACACCAUGUGCUGGACCUUCCAUGCUCCAUACCCACAAACUAAUGAAACCAUUGAACAACAAAAUGGAAAACUAAAAUAACAGUUAAAGAAGGGGCAUCAAGAUAGAUUGUUAGUAGGAUGGCAUUCUGGCCUCACUAGAAUCAUUUGGACACUCAACACUGUACACUAAUGAAAGAGAAACAGCACUGCAAUGCAUCUUGAUAAAUAUAAGUGUGGAGAAAAUGGAGGACCAGUUGGUCACCUGACUAGGCUAUGGCUGAGGCAUCCCAAUCUUGGUUUACCCAAACAUUCUUUUUCUCUUUUCCACUCUGAAACACUCUGCCCAGGGGUGGUUUGUGAUCCAUUCAGCUGUUAUGCCUUACAUAGCUCCUCAUGCUUCCUCACAGAGUGUUUACCUCCCUUAGAACCCUGAGGGAAAGGGGAAGAAAGCUAUAGAAUGUCAGAAUACCAGAAUUACCUCGGUUACAUCAGGAGUUCUCAACAGCCCUGUACAGGAGUAGAGGUUGAUGGUGCUGUAUAACAUGCAUACUUUGUACAGGACCUUACCUUAUUGCCUGGAUUCAGUGAUCACAGCAGUUCAAGGGACACAGCAAGGGCAAUGGAUUCAUCUCCAUUAGGAUACUUUGGACAAUUCAAACUUCAACUGAUGGAACAGGAGUUUCUCUAGCCGUCGAAGUUAUCAGGAGUGAGGGCAGAAGCUGGGGAGGAACACUGCCAUCUUUUUUCUCCUCUCAAAGACUCCUGAUAAUACUUGGGUUGACAACAACCUCAUCAAAAUCAGCACAUCCCUACAGAUAGUUUAAAACUCUUUGUGGCUUCCUUCCAUAGCCUCUGAUUCAUAUAUAUGAAGAUUCCUGAGCCUAGUAAACCCUCCAGAGCUGGGGUUGAGUCUCUCAAACUAAGAAACAGCUUGCAUUUUUUUUUCUAUUUGGAGAUGGGAUUUUACUGUUUCCCAAAUUGAACUCAAAACUGUUGGGCUCAAGCAGUCCUCCUGCCUCCUGGCUCUGGGACCACUGGUGCAUGCUGCUGUGCCUGGCUUUGAGGCCAUAGAACUUGCCUUAGGAUACAAGAGAGGGAGAACACAACUUUGCCUCUUCUGAAUAAGGCAAAUAUACCUCAGAGAUGCUCAAGGAUUGUGUUUAAGUAAACUUCAUAAUGCUAAUAGCAAUGAUUUAAUGAUACUAACAAGUAGG